rnacentral:rRNA from 1 species
UACGGGGGGGGCAAGCGUUGUUCGGAAUUACUGGGCGUAAAGGGCUCGUAGGCGGCCAACUAAGUCGGACGUGAAAUCCCUCGGCUUAACCGGGGAACUGCGUCCGAUACUGGAUGGCUUGAGUUUGGGAGAGGGAUGCGGAAUUCCAGGUGUAGCGGUGAAAUGCGUAGAUAUCUGGAGGAACACCGGUGGCGAAGGCGGCAUCCUGGACCGAUACUGACGCUGAGGAGCGAAAGCCAGGGGAGCAAACGGG